rnacentral:misc_RNA from 1 species
AACGCACGAGACCUGCGGACCUGCGGAGGGAUCAUUAAAGAGUUGCAAGACUCCCAAACCAUUGUGAACGUUACCCACACCGUUGCUUCGGCGGGCGGCCCGGGCCCUGCCCGGCGCCCCCCGGCCCCUCGCGGGCGCCCGCCGGAGGUAAACCAAACUCUUGAAUUGUAUGGCCUCUCUGAGUCUUCUGUACUGAAUAAGUCAAAACUUUCAACAACGGAUCUCUAGAUCGGAAGAGCA